rnacentral:rRNA from 1 species
UACGUAGGGUGCGAGCGUUGUCCGGAAUUAUUGGGCGUCAAGAGCUCGUAGGCGGCUUGUCGCGUCGGAUGUGAAAGCCCGGGGCUUAACUCCGGGUCUGCAUUCGAUACGGGCAGGCUAGAGUUCGGUAGGGGAGAUCGGAAUUCCUGGUGUAGCGGUGAAAUGCGCAGAUAUCAGGAGGAACACCGGUGGCGAAGGCGGAUCUCUGGGCCGAUACUGACGCUGAGGAGCGAAAGCGUGGGGAGCGAACAGG